UACGUAGGGAGCGAGCGUUGUCCGGAAUUACUGGGUGUAAAGGGAGCGUAGGCGGGACUGCAAGUUGGGUGUCAAGUCUACCGGCUCAACCGGUAGCCGCACUCAAAACUGCAGUUCUUGAGUGAAGUAGAGGCAGGCGGAAUUCCUAGUGUAGCGGUGAAAUGCGUAGAUAUAUGGAGGAACACCGGUGGCGAAAGCGGCUCUCUGGCCUGUAACUGACACUGAGGCUCGAAAGCGUGGGGAGCAAACAGG
rnacentral:rRNA from 1 species